rnacentral:rRNA from 1 species
CAGCACCUCAAGUGGUCAGGAGGAUUAUUGGGCCUAAAGCAUCCGUAGCCUGUUCUAUAAGUUUCCGGUUAAAUCCAUUAGCUCAACUAAUGGGCCGCCGAAAAUACUGUGGAACUAGGGAGUGGGAGAGGUAGACGGUACUCGGUAGGAAGGGGUAAAAUCCUUUGAUCUAUUGAUGACCACCUGUGGCGAAGGCGGUCUACCAGAACACGUUCGACGGUGAGGGAUGAAAGCUGGGGGAGCAAACCGGAUUAGAUACCCGGGUGGUCCCAGCUGUAAACGAUGCAGACUCGGUGAUGCGCUGGCUUGUGGCCAGUGCAGUGCCGCAGGGAAGCCGUUAAGUUUGCCGCCUGGGAAGUACGUACGCAAGUAUG